GGGGAGUACGCCGGCAACGGUGAAACUCAAAGGAAUUGACGGGGGCCCGCACAAGCGGAGGAACAUGUGGUUUAAUUCGAUGAUACGCGAGGAACCUUACCCGGGCUUGAAAUGCAUCUGACCGCUUAAGAAAUUAGGCUUCUAGCAAUAGCAGAUGUGUAGGUGCUGCAUGGUUGUCGUCAGCUCGUGCCGUGAGGUGUCGGCUUAAGUGCCAUAACGAGCGCAACCCACAUUGUUAGUUACUAACAGGUCAAGCUGAGGACUCUGACAAGACUGCCAGCGUAAGCUGUGAGGAAGGUGUGGAUGACGUCAAAUCAGCACGGCCCUUACGUCCGGGGCGACACACGUGUUACAAUGGAUGGUACAGAGGGUCGCUACCUAGUGAUAGGAUGCCAAUCUCGAAAGCCAUUCCCAGUUCGGAUUGGAGUCUGCAACUCGACUCCAUGAAGCUGGAUUCGCUAGUAAUCGCGCAUCAGCCAUGGCGCGGUGAAUACGUUCCCGGGCCUUGUACACACCGCCCGUCAAGCCAUGGAAGNCUGGGGGUACCUGAAGUACGUAACCGUCAAGGAGCGUCCUAGGGUAAAACUAGUGAGCUAGCGGCAGGCUUAACACAUGCAAGUCGAGGGGCAGCAUAAUAGUAGUAAUACUAUGGUGGCGACCGGCAGACGGGUGCGUAACGCGUAUACAACCUACCCUUGAAAGGGGAAUAACCCGGAGAAAUUCGGACUAAUACCCCGUAAGUAUUCGAUUGGCAUCAAUUGGAUAUGAGAGAUUUAUCGUUCAAGGAUGGGUAUGCGUGACAUUAGGAAGUUGGUGAGGUAACGGCUCACCAAUCCGACGAUGUCUAGGGGUUCUGAGAGGAAGGUCCCCCACACUGGUACUGAGACACGGACCAGACUCCUACGGGAGGCAGCAGUGAGGAAUAUUGGUCAAUGGACGAGAGUCUGAACCAGCCAUGCCGCGUGCAGGAAGAAUGCUCUAUGAGUUGUAAACUGCUUUUAUACAAGAAUAAUAAGCCAUACGUGUAUGGUGAUGAAUGUAUUGUAUGAAUAAGGACCGGCUAACUCCGUGCCAGCAGCCGCGGUAAUACGGAGGGUCCGAGCGUUAUCCGGAUUUAUUGG
rnacentral:rRNA from 1 species